rnacentral:misc_RNA from 1 species
UUUCCGUAGGUGAACCUGCGGAAGGAUCAUUAUUGUAUAACCGAGGUGCGAGGGCUUUCGCUGACCCGAAAGGUCGUGCACGCCCGAGUGCCCUCACACACAUCCAUCUCACCCCUAUGUGCACCACCGCGUGGGUCCCCCUUUGGCUUGUUCGGAGGGGGGCUUACGUUUUCACACAAACUUUGUAUGCAGUGUAGAAUGUAUUUUUUGUUUUUGCGAUCACGCAAUCAAUACAACUUUCAACAACGGAUCUCUUGGCUCUC